rnacentral:rRNA from 1 species
AUUGAACGCUGGCGGCAUGCCUUACACAUGCAAGUCGAACGGUAACGCGGGGCAACCUGGCGACGAGUGGCGAACGGGUGAGUAAUGUAUCGGAACGUGCCCAGUUGUGGGGGAUAACUGCUCGAAAGAGCAGCUAAUACCGCAUACGACCUGAGGGUGAAAGCGGGGGAUCGCAAGACCUCGCGCAAUUGGAGCGGCCGAUAUCAGAGUAGGUAGUUGAUGGGGUAAAGGCUCACCAAGCCAACGAUCUGUAGCUGGUCUGAGAGGACGACCAGACACACUGGGACUGAGACACGGCCCAGACUCCUACGGGAGGCAGCAGUGGGGAAUUUUGGACAAUGGACGCAAGUCUAAUCCAGCCAUGCCGCGUGCGGGAAGAAGGCCUUCGGGUUGUAAACCGCUUUUGUCAGGGAAGAAACGCUCUGGGUUAAUACCUCGGGGUAAUGACGGUACCUGAAGAAUAAGCACCGGCUAACUACGUGCCAGCCGCCGCCGUAACAC